AUAAGUUGUUUUUCAUUAGUUUAAACCUUUUAUCUUUCAAAUUAAUACUUCAUAUUAUUUUAUAAGUUUUCAAUGGUCCUACUUCUUAAACAUGUAGAAUGCCUGUGCCCAUAUUCUAGUUCAAUUACAAAUCUACCAUCUACUAAAUCUCACUUAUCUACCCUAAAUUCAUUAGAUUUCCUCCUCCUACCUUUUGCAGCUCCAACCUCUGGUCAGUAUGGUCGUAAUCGUCUAAUAUAAAUUACAAUAGAUCUUAUUGGUUUCAACCAUGGCAUAUAUGCUUUGACUUGCGAAAUUAAGGCAUGCAUGCCAAGAGUUAGUCUUUGAGAUGACAUACCCACCCCUUCAGCCAUCAAAAUAUAAACAGCAAAACUAGACACAAAAAGCUCAUCUGGUGCUCGAUUUAAGUAUCUACCACAACUGUUACAUCAUACAAUAUUACUAAACAAUUGCUCCCAAUAGAUUUGUUCAAUUGAUCAGUAAAAUAAUGCAACAUCUACAUGUCCAGAUGGAUCCUUAGCUAUUGUUAUUUAAACUAGUAUUCAGCUGCAGAGACAUGUGAAGUUUGAAAUAUAUGUGCCUUCCACAAAACAGCUAAGUUUUUAUACUGUAAAAUUGCCGGAAUAGCAUACCAGCUCAUGAUGUAGCAUUCUCUGGCACGUAAAGCUCUAUUGGAUUGUUAACCUUUUAUUUAUUGAUUGAUUAUUUUGAGCAAAUGCUGAGGUGCUUUAAAGUAGUCUUGGCAUUAUAUUAUGUGGUUCCAAUGUCAGGGAGUCAAA
rnacentral:lncRNA from 1 species